CUGAGAGGUGGUGCAUGGCCGUCGUCAGUUCGUACUGUGAAGCAUCCUGUUAAGUCAGGCAACGAGCGAGACCCACGUCCACAGUUGCCAGCAUACCCCUCCGGGGUGAUGGGUACACUGUGGAGACCGCCGCUGCUAAAGCGGAGGAAGGAGUGGGCAACGGUAGGUCAGUAUGCCCCGAAUCUCCCGGGCUACACGCGGGCUACAAUGGUUGGUACAAUGGGCAUCUACCCCGAAAGGGGAAGGAAAUCUCUUAAAGCCAAUCGUAGUUCGGAUUGAGGGCUGCAACUCGCCCUCAUGAAGCUGGAAUCCGUAGUAAUCGCGUUUCAACAGAACGCGGUGAAUACGUCCCUGCUCCUU
rnacentral:rRNA from 1 species